UACUCGGUGACUGAAAAGUAAGUGUAGAUCUUUUAAAUCUAACAUAGUAGAUUCUCACCUACUUCGAGUAA
rnacentral:tRNA from 2 species